GUGGGGAAUCUUAGACAAUGGGCGCAAGCCUGAUCUAGCCAUGCCGCGUGAGCGAUGAAGGCCUUAGGGUUGUAAAGCUCUUUCAGCUGGGAAGAUAAUGACGGUACCAGCAGAAGAAGCCCCGGCUAACUCCGUGCCAGCAGCCGCGGUAAUACGGAGGGGGCUAGCGUUGUUCGGAAUUACUGGGCGUAAAGCGCACGUAGGCGGAUCAGAAAGUCAGAGGUGAAAUCCCAGGGCUCAACCUUGGAACUGCCUUUGAAACUCCUGAUCUUGAGGUCGAGGGAGGUGAGUGGAAUUCCGAGUGUAGAGGUGAAAUUCGUAGAUAUUCGGAGGAACACCAGUGGCGAAGGCGGCUCACUGGCUCGAUACUGACGCUGAGGUGCGAAAGCGUGGGGAGCAAACAGGAUUAGAAACCCGGGUAGUCC
rnacentral:rRNA from 1 species